rnacentral:rRNA from 1 species
GGCGUAGGUGGUUCUCCAAGUCCGAUGUGAAAUCUCCUGGCUUAACUGGGAGGGUGCAUCGGAUACUGUUGAACUGGAGUGCAGCAGAGGAAGAUGGAAUUCCCGGUGUAGUGGUGAAAUGCGUAGAUAUCGGGAGGAACACUAGUGGCGAAGGCGGUCUUCUGGGCUGUAACUGACACUGAGGUCCGAAGGCGUGGGGAGCAAACAGGAUUAGAUACCCUGGUAGUCCACGCAGUAAACGAUGGGUACUAGGUAUGGGGAGGUAUCGACCCUCUCCGUGCCGAAGCUAACGCUUUAAGUACCCCGCCUGGGAGUACGGUCGCAAGACUAAA